AACGAACGCUGGCGGCAUGCCUAACACAUGUAAGUCGAACGAAGCCUUCGGGCUUAGUGGCGCACGGGUGCGUAACACGUGGGAAUCUGCCCUUCGGUUCGGAAUAACAGUUAGAAAUGACUGCUAAUACCGGAUGAUGACGAAAGUCCAAAGAUUUAUCGCCGAAGGAUGAGCCCGCGUAGGAUUAGGUAGUUGGUAGGGUAAUGGCCUACCAAGCCGACGAUCCUUAGCUGGUCUGAGAGGAUGAUCAGCCACACUGGGACUGAGACACGGCCCAGACUCCUACGGGAGGCAGCAGUGGGGAAUAUUGGACAAUGGGCGAAAGCCUGAUCCAGCAAUGCCGCGUGAGUGAUGAAGGCCUAGGGUUGUAAAGCUCUUUUACCAGGGAUGAUAAUGACAGUACCUGGAGAUAAGCUCCGGCUAACUCCGUG
rnacentral:rRNA from 1 species